rnacentral:rRNA from 1 species
UACGUAGGCAGCAAGCGUUGUUCGGAGUUACUGGGCGUAAAGGGUGUGUAGGCGGUUGUUUAAGUUUGGUGUGAAAUCUCCCGGCUCAACUGGGAGGGUGCGCCGAAUACUGAAUGACUAGAGUGCGGGAGAGGGAAGUGGAACUCCGGGAGUAGCGGUGAAAUGCGUAGAGACCCGGAGGAACACCAGUGGCGAAGGCGGCUUCCUGGUCUGCGACUGACGCUGUGGCGCGAAAGCUAGGGGAGCAAACGGG